rnacentral:lncRNA from 1 species
GAGAACACACAGAGAGUUUUAGAUAGAGUUCAGAGAGUUCUUGGGAGUUUUUACCAGUAUUAGAGAGCAUUCUUGGUACUUUGGGGUAUUCUAAUCAAUUAUUUUUUCAGUCAUGAGAGUCUUGAAUCAGUCUGAGAGAGCAAUUUCUGAGAGUUUUUAGGGUGGUCUUUUGGAAUCAGUUUUUGGAGAAAGAGAGAGCUAAGGCAUUGAUGUUCUUUGAGAGCUUGAAAAAAACAGAGACUUGGAGAGCAUAAGAAUGAUAAAGUGAUUCUUAAAACUAAGGACCUACUGCUCCAUUAAAACUUGGAGUGAAAUUCUUGAAUUUUAGCUACUGAGUUAUAUUUUCCAGUUCAGUUUUGUUUACUGAAGUGUUUGAGGUUCACUGGUUGAUUUCCUGUUGAUUUUGGAGUUCAAUUAGUUACUUGGGAUUAUUUGUUGUUGCUGUUUGGUUUCACAACUGGUUCUGGGCUGUAAUAAAGAGACUGUAUUACUAUUACUCUUUCCAUCUUGUACCAUCAGUUGAAUGUCUAGUUUAGUUUUGUAAUUAUGAAAAUAGGUUCCAAAAUGGAUGUAAGUUUCAAUAGUUAAAACCAGUUAAUUUCGUAGUUGUAAAAAGUAGGUUCAUCACUGGAGUAUUGAGUGUUAGUUUGGUAAGG